rnacentral:misc_RNA from 1 species
GAUGAAGAACGCAGCGAAAUGCGAUACUUGGUGUGAAUUGCAGAAUCCCGUGAACCAUCGAGUCUUUGAACGCAAGUUGCGCCUCAAGCCAUUAGGUUGAGGGCACGUCUGCCUGGGCGUCACAUAUCGUUGCCUGAUGCCAGUUUCCUCGUGAUGGGUGACUGUGCAGGGCGAAUGAUGGCUUCCCGUGAGCAUUGUUGCCUCAUGGUUGGUUGAAAAUUGAGUCCUUGGUAGGGAGCGCCGUGAUAGAUGGUGGUUGAGUGACGAACGAGACCCAAUCAUGUGAGACCCCUACCGAGUUUGGCCUUCAUGACCCACAUGCGUCUUUGGAACGCUCAUGACGAGACCUCAGGUCAGGCGGGGCUACCCGCUGAGUUUAAGCAUAUCAAUAAGCGGAGGA